rnacentral:lncRNA from 1 species
GAGGGCCCUCAUGGGGUUUUUGAUUAUGUGAUUACUUGGCCGUUUUUUUAAUGAUUAUUUGAUUAUUAAGCCAAAUAUUUCAUGAUUAUUUGAUUACCUAGGACUGUAUUUUUAGUUUAUGAUUAUUUGAUUACUAAAGAUAAGCAAAUAUUUAAUGAUUAUGUAAUUAUAUUGGCAAAAAAAAUGGUGAUUAUGUGAUUACUAGGACCACCCCC